AACGAACGCUGGCGGCGUGCUUAACACAUGCAAGUCGAACGCGAAAGGGACUUCGGUCCUGAGUAAAGUGGCGCACGGGUGAGUAACGCGUGGAUAAUCUACCCAAUGAUCUGGGAUAACAUCUCGAAAGGGGUGCUAAUACCGGAUAAGACCACGAAGUCUUCGGACUUUGCGGUAAAAGGUGGGGACCUUCGGGCCUACCGUCAUCGGAUGAGUCCGCGUACCAUUAGCUAGUUGGUGGGGUAAUGGCCUACCAAGGCUACGAUGGUUAGCUGGUCUGAGAGGAUGAUCAGCCACACUGGAACUGAGACACGGUCCAGACUCCUACGGGAGGCAGCAGUGGGGAAUUUUGCGCAAUGGGGGAAACCCUGACGCAGCAACGCCGCGUGAGUGAUGAAGGCUUUCGGGUCGUAAAGCUCUGUCAGAGGGGAAGAAAUGCAUGGAUGCUAAUAUCAUACUUUGCUUGACGGUACCCCAAAGGAAGCACCGGCUAUCCCA
rnacentral:rRNA from 1 species